AAAAUAAUCAGAAAAAAAUUGCAUUCAUUACUCGAAGUCGAAGAUACAGAGAAGAUUACGAAUUUCGUCGAUAAGGGGUAUCUUUCACCAAGUUGCCAAAUCGAAGAGAAGAUUUCAGCAGUAAAUUUGCAAGCUAUAAAAGUAUUCUUGACAUGAAAUACAACAUCAAUUAGAUAAAUUAACGUGUGAAAGUUUUAAAAAAUGAAUUUCAAAUCAGCAAAAUUACGGUAAAAAUGGCGUAAAAUCCAACUCCGCCAUUUUUCAGAAAAUACGACAACGUUGCAUUGGGAAUUUUUUUUUAAAAAAAUGAAUGAAAAAUAAAAUUGAUUGAAAUGAGGAGUUCAUUGUGCGUGUUCGGCUUCGGUGUUUCCUCCUUUGUUUUAAAUUUAAGCAUUGCCGGCAUAUUUAUGAUGAAGAUUCAAUAUCUUCUCGAGUUGAACGAACUCGACGUCAAUCCAUCGUCUCUGAGGAGUUUUAAGCUUAUAAGAUGUCCAGAUACCUGGAUGGCUGUGAUAGAGGCUUUCAGAAAAACUGUAUCGAAUGGACGUUGAUCGCUUUUGCCUUUUACAGAAUAGGCAACUGAAAAAUCAAUUUUUAAAAAAAAGUGAUUUGCUCAUACGGAAAUAGGACGAAACUUUCUCCAGCAUCGACCUUGAUGAAGGAAAAAAAUAAAAUGCAGAGCCAACCUUUGGGUUGUUUCGUGAAACCUUGCGGAAAGUUGAUCGAAAAUGCGAAAUUGUACGAUUUGAUCGGGAAGGACUAGAGCAAACAGAAACAGCACAACGCACCCUAGUUAAUUUUAUUUUUCAAAACAUCAAAAGGUUGUCCCUUCAGCCGAAGUAUAAAGAACUUGAUAUACAAAGAAAAAGAUUGGUCGUCGGAUUUUUAAAAUUUAAAUUAGAAAUUUUUUUUUCCUGCGAUAAAAUUGUCAUAGAUACCUAUAGUUUAGAAUAAAGAUGUAGGUUGAAAUCAUGUGAUAGCAAUGCUAUGUUUAUGGGAUGCAGGACCACUUACCUACUCAUGCUUUUUAAGAAAAUUCCUGAACGAGGUCCGAAUUCAAAUGGAGACUCAGUAUUUGUUUAUUAUUUAUUAUUAUUAUUAAUUAUUAUUUUAUUUUCAGAGUAAAUACUCGGUAUUUGGCAAUUAUAAAUAUGAAUCUGUAUCCUAAUUCAAAAUAAAAACUAAAUUUGUUUUUUUUUUA